ensembl:lncRNA
CCACCCACUUGGUGGAAGACUAAAAAACAGAAGCGAAAGUGAAAUUGUCAACUAAAUAAGCUUACAAAAUAGGAAAAGAAGAAAGAUGCAUCUGGAAAAUACUCUGAUUCUACUCCAUGGCUAUGUACCUGAAGGAGAUACUUGCAGGAGGAGAGGCAGCAUUCGAGCUGGUCCCACGAGAGUUAGAGUCAGUGGAGGGAAACAAACUCUCUAGAGCACAGUCAUGAAUUCAUAUAAUGGCUUGAGUUGGAUGAGUCCUCAGAGAUCGUUUAGUUCCAAGACCCUGAUGGUCAGGUAAAUAGCAUCCUGAAACUUUCUGUUUCUCUCCAUUGACUGGAAAGGGAGUUCAGAGUGAAAAGAUUGGAUAAAAACCUGUGUACUUGUUUAGAAAAGUUCAAAGUUAGAUUAAAUGAAUCCAAUCAUAGGUACCAAUAAUUCCCUUGGAUGCAGUGUGAUUGGGCUCAAUGCAAGGAGCUCAGGAGGUUAAGCUGGAUUUCACAGGUACACAAACACAAAUGUGCACAAAAGUGAGAAGAAAUAACACAGAGCUGCAGCUAUCACACAAAAGUACCCUUAGCAAUGCCUUUCAAGGGAGGUGUAGUACUCUCCUGGAAAAAAACAGUCAGCAGAAAAAUUACCUUGUUCAGUGCAAGUGAGUUAUAAGGCAGCAUUAAGAAUUUCUUCAGUUUGCUACAUCAUGCAUUUUUCUGUGCUGUUGGGAAUGAGAAAAAGGUCACCUCUGCAAAUCUGCUGUUACUCUUCAUCACUUGCAUGGCAGCUGCACCCAAGGGCAGAUAGUAACCAGAGGUCACCCAUGCCAGCGCAGCUCGUUGUCCAAGUCUGUGAAACAAGGCAGCCCACUCCAGUGCCAACCACCCUAUAAGAUUUCAACUCUGUACACUAACCCUGAUUCUUAUGUUUUGCUGUACUUUGGUGCUCACAUCAAAAUUGGCAGUGUGUGUGUUGGUAACUCUCAGUGUUGAGCUCUCCCCAAAGCUUCUGUUCAGUUUUUCGAACACGAUGUUCUGG